rnacentral:tRNA from 6 species
GGGGCGGUAGCUCAGUUGGGAGAGCGCAGCAAUCGCACUGCUGAGGUCGUGGGUUCGACUCCCAUCCGCUCCACCA